AGAGUUUGAUCCUGGCUCAGGAUAAACGCUGGCGGCGUGCCUAACACAUGCAAGUCGAACGCCCUGCGUAAGCAGGACGUGGCGGACGGGUGAGUAACACGUGGGUACCUACCCUUAAGUGAGGAAUAUCGGCGAGAAAUCGCCGGCAAUACCGCAUACGUUUCGCAAGAAACAAAGCUCCGCAAGGAGCGCUUGAGGAUGGGCUCGCGCCCGAUUAGCUAGUUGGUGAGGUAAUGGCUCACCAAGGCGUUGAUCGGUAGCUGGUCUGAGAGGAUGAUCAGCCACACUGGGAUUGAGAACGGCCCAGACUCCUACGGGAGGCAGCAGUGAGGAAUUUUCCGCAAUGGACGAGAGUCUGACGGAGCAACGCCGCGUGCAGGAUGAAGGUCUUCGGAUCGUAAACUGCUUUUGUCUGGGAAGAGAACGGACGGUACCAGACGAAUAAGCCCCGGCUAACUACGUGCCAGCAGCCGCGGUAAUACGUAGGGGGCAAGCGUUGUCCGGAAUUAUUGGGCGUAAAGCGCACGCAGGCGGUCUAGUAAGUUCAAGGUGACAGUCAUCGGCUUAACCGGUGAAGUACCUUGAAAACUGGUAGACUUGAGUACGAGAGAGGGACACGGAAUUCCAGGUGGAGUAGUGAAAUGCGUAGAUAUCUGGAAGAACACCGAAGGCGAAGGCAGUGUCCUGGCUCGGAACUGACGCUCGGGUGCGAAAGCGAGGGGAGCAAACAGGAUUAGAUACCCUGGUAGUCC
rnacentral:rRNA from 1 species